CGGGGCUGGCGGAGCCACUGCCGCCGGCAGAAGUUGGCGACAAACGUGUGGUCGCCGUGGCUGCAGCCGCGGCUUUCUUUCUAUUUCUGCUGCAGCUUCCUGUCCUUGACCCAACGAUACAUUGUGAAGUUCUCCGGAGUCAAUGAAUGCUGGUAAAAUGCAGUAAAGGAUUUAAGGUUAUCGUCUGUCUCUCUAACUUCUGACAUCUCUUUAUAACAAGAAAGAGUCACAGCCAACUGUAACAGGAGGGCAACACAAUGAAUCCUGUGAGCAGUGCUCACACAGAGUCAAGAUCUUUUCUGCUCCUCACACCACCCCACCAGUGAGGAGGCUGGGGGUGCACAAAUGUUGAGAGGAAACACGGCUGGGACAGUUGACCCCAACUGACCAAAGGGAUAUUCCAUAGCAUAAGGUGUCAUGCUCAAUAUAAACUAGAGAUGGAAGUUGGCUGGAGACUGCAGUUCGGGGACUGCGGCUCAUGGACUGGGUGGGCAUUGGCUUGUUGGUGGUGCCAAAGACCAUCUGGAUCCUUCAGUUAUGCCUAGUUGUGCCUGAUGUCUUACUGUUGAAAGAAAUGGGGUGCAGCAGCAGAUGCCAGCAAAGUAAAGGUGCCUACAUAGUGCUGUUUGCAAAGCAAGACAGAACUGUGUCUUGUUUACACAGCUCAAUCAGAAAAAUAAAGGCAGGGCCCAGCCAUGCGUGAUGGUGAGCAUUCUGAGCAUCCCAGCCUCAGCCAGAGUGGGUGUUUGGCACCUUGCUGAAGUCAGCCAUUGUGCAUGUCCUCGUGUGAGAUGCUUGUAGGUGACUUCCAGAUGACCUUGAGGAGACUGGACAGGAAUUCACUGGUUGGCUGAUUUAUGUUUCAGUACCGUAGAUAUUCUGUACUCUGAAAACAAGUAGGGUCAGCAGCUGAAUUUGAAUUUCUCUGUCUUCCCUUUCUCUUCUCCAUUUGUGAUUUUUACUUUCCGGCUCACAGCACAUGCACUAGAAGCUGAAGAAACCUCUUUUAUCAGGUUAAUAUUUUCAUCAUAGCUGUGGCUCACAUCCAUAUAGGCUUUGGGCUCCUCUGCUCUGUACCCAUUUCUCACUCUUUUCAAAGGGAAGUAGGAAACUCUUGGUAUGGGUGCAAAACUUAGAAGAGAUCUAUGCCAAAUAAGAGCAAGAACACAGCUGCACAAGACUCAGCAUACUGCUCACAGACAAAAAGCAGUGAAGGAAAAGAUAACAUUUUAAGCUAAAUGAGAGAUCGUUAUACAAUACUCUUUCCGUUCAGCUCGUUCUGAGAGGAAUAUAUACAUGUGGCAGCAGCACUUGGGACGUGAAGAGCUACUUUGAAAGUAGAUGCGUUUCCCAGUGUUUGAGAUGAGGAUGGAAAGUGGAGAGUGAGAAAACUGGCUGCCCCUGCAGAGGUGCCCCCCUCUGUGGCCACAGCAACGUCUGUGAAGCCAUCGUGCUUUUCUGUCCUUAACGAGAAAGCAGCCUGGACUGGCUCAGAGCAAACACGGUUUGUAGGAAGCAUUUCAGGCUGAUGUUCCUGCCUGAGGAGGGAGUUUUCCAGUGGCCUGGCAGAGCCAGUUGGUAGCAUGAACAGCUCAAGCUACAGCAAGGAGACCCAAGCAGAAGUACACAAACUCGUCCAUAUUCCCUCUUACUGUGGUGAAGCAGGAAGGCACGGAAGGGAGGCCUCAAAAUCAUAAGGCAAAGGACUGCUCUGUGGGCUGCCUGGCCACACGUACAGGUGUACAUACACAAAGCUGUAAAUGGGAGCCCAUGCAGGGGUCGUGCUGUACUGGGAGAGCUAACUGGGCUGGGAAAGUAAGCUUUACCCUUUCAAACAGACCAGCGUAAAUGAUAGCGGAGGGUGUCAUGCGGGCAGUUGGGAUCUUUACACUGAGCCUCAUGUUAUCAGAGGGUUUUGCUCACUGCACUGCCUUGUGAAAUGCAGCCUGUGACCAGAGGGAAAGUGGUAAGCCAGUGGUAGAACUAGAUUAAAACAGCAGUACGCAAACACACUGACCUCUUCCUGAGUGGUAACCUUGAAUGAAAGCUGAUUCACUGGACUGAUUUCAUUCAGCUUGUCCAUGAGAAAAUAGAGCACAGCAGCAUUGACUGCAACUGGCCAAAGUGCUUGUGAGCUUCAGUGAUCUUCAUGGUAUUUGUUUCAGCUUCCAGGUCCUUAAAGAUGUUAGCAAUAUUAUAAUGUGGUAUUACACUCAGAGCCUACAAAAAGGUAUUGGCAAAAGGCACAAUAUAUAAAUGAAUGUAAGAAUUUAUUGGUAGUCCAAUUACUAUUUUAAACAGUAUAAUAAUCAAAAUUACUUAAUGAAUAGUGGAAGACCUCAUUAAAAAUAGGGGUAAAAUUGCUACAUAAAAAGUUCCCUAUUCUCUGGCUUUGUGCUUAUUCCUCCAGUGUUCCUUUGGGUCUUAAGACUGACACUUUGGUAUCUCUCAAAAGGAAUGGGGGAGUACUACAAUGAGUUGUCACCAGGAGGAGCGUGAUACUCAUGGGAAGGGGAUGUCUUUCUCCUCAGUCUGGUGUCUGAUUUAGUUUUAUGUUUUCUUGACACUGUCAGCUUACUGUGAUUAAAUGACUUACUCGUGUCAUCUGCGUCUGCACUCUUUCCCACAGCUGACUCUAGAGCUGUAGGCAUUUCAGUCCACAAUGAAUAACCAUUUGUUAUUACCAUAAACUAGAGUUAAACUAAAAUUUAGUCAAGAGAGCCUCACAGCUGAACAAUUGCUAUCACAACUAAACCAAGUUAAAAUCUAUUUAGGCCCAGACAAACCCAGGGAAUUUCUGGGUCCGUAUACUAUCAUGUCAAUACAAACCUUGUUGCUUUUUAAUAAUAAUGGCUAAAUCACGUUUACUGGGCUAUGAAGUCCCUUUUAGUCUGUGAAUUGCAGAGUUCAGCAAGGAUUUGCAAACCCUUCUAUGACUGCAGAAUCAUGACUGAGCAGUAGAUCUUGGAAGCAUUCACACUUUUCUAACUUUUUUUGAAUUAGAAUAAUUCAAGGUCUGAUUGACUUGUAUUUCUUCAUUGCCAUCAGGAGGCCAGCUAACAAAAAGUGUUUGAUUUUCAUCGCCAAUAUAAUUUGCACAAUCAGCAGGAAUACUGUAGUUAUUAAAUUAAGAGCUAUAGGUUGUAGUGCUAAGUUAAAAAUUCCUGUAGCUGCAGAAGACCAUUGUGUAACCUCAUAAAGGUAUAGGAUAAUUAAGAAUACAUGUUUGAAUCUAAGACACAUCACACACACACACUCACAGACACUAUCAGAUAGGUUUUACACGAGGCAGUUCACAACAAUUUCUGAAAUUGGCUCUGUACACAAACACAGCUUGAUCUCAUAUAUAUAUUUAGAGAUUGAUUAGAAACAGAAUGAGAGAUGUCAUAGUCACAUCUGUUUAACUUUUGAGCUAAGCAAUCAUCUGAAGACUGGAAACUAAUAUCUUCACAUAUCUAUUGCAUGUUUCAAUGCUAUUUGCUGACUUUCUUCUGAAAAGACUCACUGAAUAUUCCAUUUUCUUUGACAGUCUGUGUUCACAGAUGCACAUUUUUAAUAACACAAACACUUGUUAUACUUUUCUAAAAUUAUCUGAUCAGCUUCCUCCUAACAAGAACUUUCUCAUCAACUUGAUACAUGACUACGUAUUUUAUGUAUAUGCAGUGUUUCCACCAUGUGAAAAAUUCAAGAUGCUUUAAAAUACCUCCCAUACAAUAGUACAUAAAUAUUUAUUUUAAAACCAUGAUUUUUCCAUGGCAAAAAAAAAUAUACUCUGUUGAUCCAUCUUUUCUUGGGUGUUUUAUAAGCACUCACAGUUUCAACCAUACUUGUAAAUAUAUGUAUACUUUAAUGUUACAAGUAUAGAUAUUAAUAUCUAGGUAAUCUGUUAAGUGUGGUUACUCUCAAGGAGAGGACAUACAGACCUCCUCAUCUGGAGGGAUCUCACCUUGAGAGGGCCACAACCUCCUAGGGCCCCUCUGCCAAUAUUUCACCACCCUCAUGGUGAAUGAGGUAAAUAAUUUUUCCUAAUUCCUGGUCAGAAUUUCCCUUGUUCUGACUUCUGCUAGUUGCCUCUUUCCUGUCCUUGUGCACC